GACGAACGCUGGCGGCGUGCUUAACACAUGCAAGUCGAACGGUAAGGCUCCAGCUUGCUGGGGUACACGAGUGGCGAACGGGUGAGUAACACGUGGGUGACCUGCCCUGCACUUCGGGAUAAGCCUGGGAAACUGGGUCUAAUACCGGAUAGGACCGCACCGUGAGGGUGUGGUGGAAAGUUUUUUCGGUGUGGGAUGGGCCCGCGGCCUAUCAGCUUGUUGGUGGGGUAAUGGCCUACCAAGGCGGCGACGGGUAGCCGGCCUGAGAGGGUGGACGGCCACAUUGGGACUGAGACACGGCCCAGACUCCUACGGGAGGCAGCAGUGGGGAAUAUUGCACAAUGGGCGGAAGCCUGAUGCAGCGACGCCGCGUGGGGGAUGACGGCCUUCGGGUUGUAAACUCCUUUCACCACCGACGAAGGGUUUCUGACGGUAGAUGGAGAAGAAGCACCGGCUAACUACGUG
rnacentral:rRNA from 1 species